GUCUGGAAUUGCUCUGAUCUUUGCUUCUUAUUCUUUCACUCGGAAUUCAAGAGGUUUCUCUUCUGUUCAGGCAGAGUUGAUGAUGAUGGCGAUGAAGUGGAUGAUUUAGGGUAUGAUGCGAGGUUGGCCAGGCAAUGGAAACAAAGGCGCAUUGCCUAUCAAGAUUUCAAGCUCAAUUAUGGUGGUAAAAUUAGCUCCAGUGAAGAUCUUCAGAAGAGAGAUGAAAUUUACGACACUAAAGAAGUAGAAUAUGUGGAUGCUGACAAUAAGUACUUGGAAUUUUGGAUAGCUUAGAUUUAGAACCAUUUGUUGGUAGCGAUGUAUAUGUUUUUUUUUUUUUAAUCUGAGGACACAGCCUCAAGUUCAUUA